GCCGCCUGUAUUGCUGGCCUUACCUGCUUUUUGGAAGGUCUAAGCCUUUGUCGAAAGGUGGGUGCAGUGACCUGAAGAACAUCAAUCGUUCAGCUAAACGAAAAAACAAAAGCAGGACACAACGAGAGGGACAUUCUGUUAACAAGGGCAACUACAAGGAGCUUGCUGAGCUAAGUCCCCUCCUGUUCCCUGAUUAAGAGUCAAACCCUGUCCUGCACUGGUCAAGCCUCUGAACACCUCAACUCAUGCCUCAUACUCUCAUUCAAUCACUGCUGUGAUCCCUUUCCAACACGGUGUGGACUCCAAUCAAGAUGUAGAAACAUCUCAAGGAUGAUCAAUGGAAACAGGAUGCACCUAAGCUCAAUUGAGUGUCAUAGCAAAGGGUCUGAAUACUUACGUAAAAGGCCCUCCUACAAUCAGGUCAACGCCAUAGAGCUGAAUAUGGUACUGUAGGCAAGCUAAGCGUUUCUACAGGUGGCACUACCCUGCUGGGAAAGGAACUCCUGUACU
rnacentral:lncRNA from 1 species